CCUACGGGUGGCAGCAGUGGGGAAUAUUGGACAAUGGGGGCAACCCUGAUCCAGCCAUGCCGCGUGUGUGAAGAAGGCCCUCGGGUUGUAAAGCACUUUCAGUGAGGAAGAACGCCUGGUGGUUAAUACCCAUCAGGAAAGACAUCACUCACAGAAGAAGCACCGGCUAACUCCGUGCCAGCAGCCGCGGUAAUACGGAGGGUGCGAGCGUUAAUCGGAAUUACUGGGCGUAAAGCGCGCGUAGGUGGCUUGAUAAGCCGGUUGUGAAAGCCCCGGGCUCAACCUGGGAACGGCAUCCGGAACUGUCAAGCUAGAGGGCAGGAGAGGAAGGUAGAAUUCCCGGUGUAGCGGUGAAAUGCGUAGAGAUCGGGAGGAAUACCAGUGGCGAAGGCGGCCUUCUGGACUGACACUGACACUGAGGUGCGAAAGCGUGGGUAGCAAACAGGAUUAGAUACCCCUGUAGUC
rnacentral:rRNA from 1 species